ACACCACAAUCAUUUUCUUUUAUCUUCUUCCUCAUUCUCUCUCAAAUAAACUGGAUCCAUACAAUUCAAACUAUUACGACCCAAAUUGGGUUUCCGACCUCUGCGGCGAUUAUCAUCCCGAUUUUUCGGGUUUCAACUUGGAGGAGGAACCUCGUCAAAGCGGCGAGGUGGAGGAGGCACCGCCCGCCCACAGUGCGUCGAAGACCAAGAAAGGAGGGCAGCGGAUGUGGGCACAAGCAUUUGUAUAUUUCCUUUGUGCAGUAGUAAAUGACCGAAUGUGUGGAAUAUAUGUUCUUUGUCAAACCCAGUCCCUCGUCACUAUGAGGAAGUUGAGAUCGAAAGCAAGGCAUUGCGUGUGGGAAAGGCGCUCGCUGUUGUCAGUGUUGAUCUGAGAAGUAAGAAGACUGGAAAACUUUUAGCUCAGUUCUCCCUACUAAAAUUGCAUCCUUUCAUGCUGCUACUUAGCUCUGUAAUAAUUUUAGAUUAUGUUUUUAGGUUUUUUUUUAAUGUAAUUUUUAGGUUUUUAAUAUUAAUGCAAUUUAUUUUUAAAUAAA